rnacentral:rRNA from 1 species
CUUACGGGGAGGGCAGCCAGUGGGGGAAUAUUGGACAAAUGGGCGAAAAGCCCUGAUCCCAGCAAAUACCCGAAGUGAGUGAUGAAAGGCCCUUUAGGGGUUUGUAAAAGCUUUUUUUUAGCCAAGGAAAGAUAAAUGAACGUUUACUUGCAGAAAAAAGCCCCCGGCUAACUCCCGUGCCCAGCAGCCCGCGGGUAAAGACGGAGGGGGGCUAGCGUUGUUUCGGAAAUUUACUGGGGCGUAAAAGAGUGGCGUAGGGCGGUUUUAGUAAAGUUGGAAAGUGAAAAGCCCCGGGGGCUUUAACCUUCGGAAUUGCUUUUCAAAAACUACUAAUCUAGAGUGUAGUAGGGGGAUGAUGGAAUUCCCUAGUGUAGAGGUGAAAAUUCUUAGAUAUUAGGAGGAACACCGGUGGCGAAGGCGAUCAUCUGGGCUACAACUGACGCUGAUGCACGAAAGCGUGGGGAGCAAACAGGAUUAGAUACCCUGGUAGUCCACGCCGUAAACGAUGAGUGCUAGAUAUCGGAAGAUUUUCUUUCGGUUUCGCAGCUAACGCAUUAAGCACUUCCGCCUGGGGAGUACGGUCGCAAGUAUUAAAACUCAAAGGAAUUGACGGGGGCUCGCACAAGCGGUGGAGCAUGCGGUUUAAUUCGAUGUUACGCGAAAAGCCUUACCAACCCUUGACAUGGUGGUCGCGGAUCGCAGAGAUGCUUUUCUUCAGCUCGGCUGGAUCACACACAGGUGUUGCACGGCUGUCGUCAGCUCGUGUCGUGAGAUGUUGGGUUAAGUCCCGCAACGAGCGCAACCCUCAUUGUUAUUUGCCAGCGGGUUCCUCCGUCAUAUAGAAGAUGCCGCCUGAGUUAUCACCGGCAGCAUCAGCGCAUCCUGGCUCCAUAACGAACAUCCUGGCUUCCAGGCGAACAACGUUGCCGGUGAAGCAACAGUGCGCAUAGCGAACACUGGUUGUGCGAGACGCGGCUUUACAGUUGCUUUGGCAGCAUGUGCGAAUGGAGACAAGCUACCAGCGUUUGUGAUUUUAAAGGAACCGAGCGGCAAGAUACCAGCGAAGGCAUUCAUGAAACUUCGCAUUCCAGGUAAGUGUCAAACAAAUUACGUGUUUGUUUAUUAUGGCUUUCAAAUCAAUACACUUGUUUACAACUAGCAUUUUGCAUUGUUCUUAUCUGUAGGAAAGUCGCUCUAGAUACAAAAAAAAUC